AAAACGACGGCCAGUUGGUGCAUGGCCGUUCUUAGUUCGUGGAGUGAUUUGUCUGGUUAAUUCCGAUAACGAACGAGACUCAAAUAUAUUAAAUAGAUGCAUUCAGGAUUAUGAUGUUGAAACUUUGCAUAACCUUCAUUCAUGAGUAUAGUAAAAUAUAUAAGUGGAUGAAUGCGUUUAUGUAAGUGGAGUCGUACCUGUUUGUUUGUCCCAUUAUAACGGACACUAGCUUCUUAAAUGGACAAAUUGCGUCUAGCAAUAAUGAGAUUGAGCAAUAACAGGUCUGUGAUGCCCUU
rnacentral:rRNA from 1 species